CACCACUUAACCUGCGUUUAUCUGUGCAUUUGUGAUGGCCGUUCUCAAUGCUGGCAAACCCCCAGGCCUUUGCAGAUACAUGAAUGCACCUCUAACAUCUGCAGAGGUAUGAGAUAUGCUGCUGGAUUUAUAGACUUGAGUGGUGUUGGAGUGGCAGCUGGAGAGGUACCCUCAAUGUCUCGUGGAGAGCAAGGACAGCGCUGCACUGCUGGGUACAGCCACAACAGCUUCCACACGGGCUGGGUAAGGUGCUCACCCUGCACACAACCCAGGGAGGCUGCAGCACCCACCCUCUGCCAAUGCAGACUGUGUAGUGAUAGGUAAGGGAUGAAGCUGCAGAGGAACCUAAACCCACCUGUGAGAUGUCUCUGGUCCCUGGCAGAUCUCCUGGGAGCCAAAUGGCUGUGACGGCAGAGAGUGGAUCAUACUGAUUCUUCAGGGAUGGGGAGGUCAGUUCUGGUGUGUUCCCC
rnacentral:lncRNA from 1 species